rnacentral:rRNA from 1 species
UACGUAGGGGGCAAGCGUUAUCCGGAUUUACUGGGUGUAAAGGGAGCGCAGGUGGUGUGGCAAGUCAGAUGUGAAAGCCCGGGGCCCAACCCCGGGACUGCAUUUGAAACUGCCAUGCUGGAGUGCAGGAGAGGUAAGUGGAAUUCCUAGUGUAGCGGUGAAAUGCGUAGAUAUUAGGAGGAACACCAGUGGCGAAGGCGGCUUACUGGACUGUAACUGACACUGAGGCUCGAAAGCGUGGGGAGCAAAC